UCCCUGGUGGCUCAGACGGUAAAGCAUCUGCCUACAAUGCAGGAGACCCAGGUUCAAUCCCUGUGUUGGGAA
rnacentral:tRNA from 1 species